UCUGGUUAUGAAAUGGGUACAUAGUUCAAUAGUAAUAUCCUCUAAAACGCUCUGGUGGCAAACAAACUUUACUGCCCUGUUUCCAAUUGUCCACAUGGCUGGGAGAACCUGUUCAACAGCAUAGUGGUCUAGACUCUGCAGACAGCCACUAUGACAGACUGUACCCGGGGCACAUCCCUACCAACGUCAUCCAGAAAGCACUGCUGGCUGUGGGCCCUGGGGUGGCAGCCCUGCAGGACCCCUACAGACAUGAGAGCGCCCACGGAUCAGGCUAUCCACAUUGGAUCUGUCCAAGAUGGCCUUCCUUCCAGAUGGAUCCUUAGGGAAAGAGUACUUGCGCUUCCUUGAGGACAAUAGGGUGACCCCUGACUCAAGGGCAGAUGUGAAGUUUGUGGAUAAUGAAGAGUUGGCGUAUGUUAUACAGAGAUACAGAGAGGUCCACGAUUUACUGCACAGCUUACUAGGCUUGCCCACUAACAUGCUAGGCUUCCAUGACUGAUGUUGGUGGGAUUUGGAGGAUGAUGGAGGCAACAG